GACGAACGCUGGCGGCGUGCCUAAUACAUGCAAGUAGAACGCAGUUGCGAACGGGUGAGUAACGCGUAGGUAACUGCCUCAUAGCGGGGGAUAACUAUUGGAAACGAUAGCUAAUACCGCAUACUGUGAGCUGGACCUGCGUUGUAUUAGGUAGUUGGUGAGGUAAAGGCGCACCAAGGCGACGAUACAUAGCCGAGCUGAGAGGGGGGUCCGCCAAACCGGGAAUGGGACCCGGCCCAGACUCCUACGGGAGGGAGCCGUAGGGAAACUUCGGAAAUGGACGGAAGUCUGACCGAGCAACGCCGCGGUAGUGAAGAAGGGUUUCGGGGCGUUAAGCUAUGUUGUGAGAGAAGCGGUAACUAAAGAGAAAGGAACGGCUAACUACGUGCCAGCAGCCGCGGUAAUAC
rnacentral:rRNA from 1 species